GGGAUCGCGAAGCUCAGACGGUCACCCCGGUGGGCUGGUUACGUGAACCCUGACGUUCUGCUCGGCGGGGAACUCCUGGCAGAUCACAGACGGAAGAGGCGACGUGCAUCUGUCCCGAGUUGGAAGAACAAGAAGAACGAAGGGAGCAGUGAGCCGGCCAGAACGGGA
ensembl:lncRNA